rnacentral:rRNA from 1 species
ACGGCAGCACGGAGCUUGCUCUGGUGGCGAGUGGCGAACGGGUGAGUAAUAUAUCGGAACGUACCCUGGAGUGGGGGAUAACGUAGCGAAAGUUACGCUAAUACCGCAUACGAUCUACGGAUGAAAGUGGGGGAUCGCAAGACCUCAUGCUCGUGGAGCGGCCGAUAUCUGAUUAGCUAGUUGGCGGGGUAAAAGCCCACCAAGGCAUCGAUUAGUAGCUGGUCUGAGAGGACGACCAGCUACACUGGAACUGAGACACGGUCCAGACUCCUACGGGAGGCAGCAGUGGGGAAUUUUGGACAAUGGGCGCAAGCCUGAUCCAGCAAUGCCGCGUGAGUGAAGAAGGCCUUCGGGUUGUAAAGCUCUUUUGUCAGGGAAGAAACGGUGUUCUCUAAUACAGAAUGCUAAUGACGGUACCUGAAGAAUAAGCACCGGCUAACUACGUGCCAGCAGCCGCGGUAAU